AUCGCGGAUUCUUUCUUUCGGGAAAGCACUAUAAUAGUAAUAGUAAUAAUAAUAAAUAAUAAUACUGCUCUUGCGCGCACGCACGCACAUAUGCAUGCACGUACAUUCGUACACACGAAUAACACGGUCCAUUAUCUAUAACAUAGUAUUGUCCCACGUUUCUUUUAUUUUGUUUUCGUUCGGUUUACGAUUUUUUCCCGUGCGGUACGGUCGCUGCAACCGCGUGAGAACCGAUCGUCAUCGUCAACUCAUUAACGUAACAUGGGUAUCGUCGCGCAACGGCGACAACAGCACGCACACCGCAGCGGACCGUAGACGGUAGAACGCGUACGCACCGCCUCGUCGUUCUUGUCGCACUCUGCACGCCCGUCGUUGUCGCAGCAACUCGGCCGUUCGUACGUCGCCCGCCGCGCGCCAUCCGUCCCGCGUCGUCUCCGACUGGACAUGGUCCGUGGCCGACCGGUCGGCACUCACAGAUCCCGCCCGAUCGCGGUGUCCAGCGCCGUACCAGCCGCUCGCCAGCAGUGGUCAGCAGACCGUAGGUGAUCGUUUUUCUUUCCGCCACCGACAGAUCCAUCGACCAUGGCCUGUCUGAACGUAUUGAAACAAGAGAUCAAAGUGAUCGAGGCGACGUUCCCUAAGGACCACGACCGGUUCCAGGUGCACUUGGCCACUGUCGACGAGGUGAUAUGCAAGUUUGUCGGACCCACAGGUCGCCAGUUCGAGAUCAUUGGUAACAUCACGGAAACAUAUCCCAGUACUCCGCCUGUCUGGUUUGCAGACACUGACGAUAGUAAAGUGACCAAUGCCAUCGAAAAACUUGGUGAGACCACAGGUCACAAUAAUCAUGUAAUCAACCAAGUUGGAAUAUUGAUUAGUGAACUUUGCCGUACAUAUUGCUUAUCUGAACCGUCCGAGCUACAAAGACUGAUACAAAUGCCCUCCAGUUCUGGGGCAUCAACCUCUACCUCUUGUUCAAGUAAACUUACAGAUGAAGAAGAUGAUGAUGAUGAUGAAGAAGAAGAAGUUGAAGAGUAUAUUCAACUUGAAAUGGAAGAGCCUAUUCCAGAAUCUACUAAAAAACAAGUUGAUGACAUGGAAAUUCAACACUUGGAAACAUUGGAAAGAUUACGUCAGAAUCAGCGUCAGGAUUACUUAAAAGGAGCUGUAACAGGAUCUGUUCAAGCUACUGACCGUUUGAUGAAGGAGCUUAGAGAUAUAUACAGAUCAGAUAGUUUUAAAAAAGGAAUGUACAGUGUAGAACUUGUCUGUGACAGCAUUUAUGAGUGGAAUAUAAAACUUAUGACAGUUGAUCCAGAUUCUGCUCUAUAUCAUGAUUUACAAAAAUUGAAGGAGAAAGAAGGAAAAGACUUUGUGCUAUUAAAUAUAACAUUCAAAGAGACAUAUCCCUUUGAACCACCAUUUGUACGUGUAGUCCAUCCUAUUAUUCAAGGUGGCUAUGUCCUAGUUGGUGGAGCAAUUUGUAUGGAACUACUAACCAAACAGGGAUGGAGCUCAGCAUACACAGUAGAAGCAGUGAUUAUGCAAAUUGCAGCUACUUUGGUGAAAGGAAAAGCCAGGAUCCAAUUUGGUGUGCCAAAAACAAUGAACCAGGUAUCACAUGGGACAUAUGCAGUAGGUCAGUAUUCAUUAGCCAGAGCACAGCAAUCAUUUAAAUCUCUUGUGCAAAUACAUGAAAAAAAUGGUUGGUUUACCCCCCCUAAAGAAGAUGGUUAAGUUCUAAAAGCCUUUGCACUACCUGAAUUUUUCAUUCCUUAAAAAAUAAAUAUAUCAAAUUAUAUGUAUCAUUUGUAAAAAGAAAAAUAAAACUUUUAUACACAUCAAUUUGGUAAACUAAUUAUAUACAAGUUCAACUGUCCAGUCCUUCCGCCUGGACUUAAAAGUCCGUGACAUAAUUAAACUAUCACAAGUCAAACUUGUAUAGUUAUUGGUUUAAUUUGGUUGUAUUUUAAGUAUUGAUAUAUUUUUUUUUUUUGUAUUUAAAUUAAAUUUAAAGUUCAACUAUGUUCAUAUAUUUAUUUUACUGUGAUUACUUUUCAUGUUUUUAACAAGGAUUUUGAUUUUUUUUUUUUAUUUACCAAUAAAUGACAUGGAAUGUGUUACUGAA
rnacentral:misc_RNA from 1 species